rnacentral:rRNA from 1 species
UACGUAGGGGGCAAGCGUUGUCCGGAUUUAUUGGGCGUAAAGAGCGUGUAGGCGGCUAGAUAGGUCCGAUUGUGAAAACGUCGAGGCUCAACCUCGAGACGUCGAUGGAAACCAUCUGGCUAGAGUCCGGAAGAGGAGAGUGGAAUUCCGUGGAUGUAGCGGUGAAAUGCGCAGAUAUCAGGAAGAACACCCGUGGCGAAGGCGGCUCUCUGGUACGUGACUGACGCUGAGACGACGAAAGCGUGGGGAGCAAACAGG